CAGUCGCCGCGGGAAUACGUAGGUCCCGAGCGUUGUCCGGAUUUAUUGGGCGUAAAGCGAGCGCAGGCGGUUAGAUAAGUCUGAAGUUAAAGGCUGUGGCUUAACCAUAGUACGCUUUGGAAACUGUUUAACUUGAGUGCAAGAGGGGAGAGUGGAAUUCCAUGUGUAGCGGUGAAAUGCGUAGAUAUAUGGAGGAACACCGGUGGCGAAAGCGGCUCUCUGGCCUGUAACUGACGCUGAGGCUCGAAAGCGUGGGGAGCAAACAGGAUUAGAUACCCUGGUAGUCCCUGUCUCUUAUACA
rnacentral:rRNA from 1 species